GGAGGCUGUGCCACUGUCCUGUGCCAACCAUUGGAUGUCUUGAAGACCAGGCUGAUGAACUCAAAAGGGGAAUAUGUGGGCCUGCUACACUGUGUGAGAGAUACAGCUAAACUGGGGCCCAAUGCCUUCUACAAGGGUCUGGUUCCAGCAGGGAUCCGUCUCAUCCCUCACACGGUCCUCACGUUCAUCUUCCUGGAGCAGCUCAGAACCUGCUGCGGCAUCAGGAUCGUCACCUGAGAGGGGUCAGGGGUCACCACCUGAUCACCUAUUGAGUAGUCUGAAAUGUGACCUCUGCGUCAGGACUGCCAGGCCACGCCCAUUCCCUUUGUUCCCUGUUCUGUUCUAUGUGAGCAGGAAACUUUAAUCCACCUGCAACCUCCCCCAUCCUAAACCCCACCUUCUGGAUACAGACUAGUGACUGACUGAAGAAGGGGUUCUGGAUACAGACUAGUGACUGACUGAAUGGGGGUUUCUGGAUACAGACUAGUGACUGACUGAAGAAGGGGUUCUGGAUACAGACUAGUGACUGACUGAAUGGGGGUUCUGGAUACAGACUAGUGACUGACUGAAUGGGGGGUUCUGGAUACAGACUAGUGACUGACUGAAUGGGGGGUUCUGGAUACAGACUAGUGACUGACUGAAUGGGGGGUUCUGGAUACAGACUAGUGACUGACUGAAGAAGGGGUUCUGGAUACAGACUAGUGACUGACUGAAUGGGGGUUCUGGAUACAGACUAGUGACUGACUGAAUGGGGCUUCUGGAUACAGACUAGUGACUGACUGAAGGGGGGGUUCUGGAUACAGACUAGUGACUAACUGAAUGGGGGGUUCUGGAUACAGACUAGUGAAUGACUGAAUGGGGGGUUCUGGAUACAGACUAGUGACUGACUGAAGGAGGAGGAGGGGGGUUCUGGAUACAGACUAGUGACUGACUGACGGGUGGGGUUCUGGAUACAGACUAGUGACUGACUGACGGGUGGGGUUCUGGAUACAGACUAGUGACUGACUGAAGAAGGGGUUCUGGAUACAGACUAGUGACUGACUGAAUGGGGGGUUCUGGAUA